CCUACGGGUGGCAGCAGUGAGGAAUAUUGGUCAAUGGACGCAAGUCUGAACCAGCCAUGCCGCGUGCAGGAAGACGGCUCUAUGAGUUGUAAACUGCUUUUGUACGAGGGUAAACGCAGAUACGCGUAUCUGUCUGAAAGUAUCGGACGAAUAAGGAUCGGCUAACUCCGUGCCAGCAGCCGCGGUAAUACGGAGGAUUCAAGCGUUAUCCGGAUUUAUUGGGUUUAAAGGGUGCGUAGGGGGUCGGAUAAGUUAGAGGUGAAAGCCCGAGGCUCAACUUCGGAAUUGCCUAUGAUACUGUUCGGCUAGAGAGUAGUUGCGGUAGGCGGAAUGUAUGGUGUAGCGGUGAAAUGCUUAGAGAUCAUACAGAACACCGAUUGCGAAGGCAGCUUACCAAGCUACUUCUGACGUUGAGGCACGAAAGCGUGGGGAGCAAACAGGAUUAGAUACCCCAGUAGUC
rnacentral:rRNA from 1 species